rnacentral:rRNA from 1 species
GAUGAACGCUGGCGGCGUGCCUAAUACAUGCAAGUCGAGCGAACGGACGAGAAGCUUGCUUCUCUGAUGUUAGCGGCGGACGGGAGAGUAACACGUGGAUAACCUACCUAUAAGACUGGGAUAACUUCGGGAAACCGUAGCUAAUACCGGAUAAUAUUUUGAACCGCAUGGUUCAAAAGUGAAAGACGGUCUUGCUGUCACUUAUAGAUGGCUCCGCGCUGCAUUAGCUAGUUGGUAAGGUAACGGCUUACCAAGGCAACGAUGCAUAGCCGACCUGAGAGGGUGAUCGGCCACACUGGAAGUGAGACACGGUCCCGACUCCUACGGGAGGCAGCAGUAGGGAAUCUUCCGCAAUGGGCGAGAGCCUGACGGAGCAACGCCGCGUGAGUGAUGAAGGUCUUCGGAUCGUAAAACUCUGUUAUUAGGGAAGAACAUAUGUGUAAGUAACUGUGCACAUCUUGACGGUACCUAAUCAGAAAGCCACGGCUAACUACGUG